UGUUCAAUCUUCUUGCUUCCCCGAGCUCUGAUACCACUGUGGGAAAUAGCUGUCAUUCCCGAGAUGCCUAAACUACCCCCACUCCAACACCCCAACGUUCAUAAAGGUAAGGGCAAAUCUGACUUUUUACUCUGGUGCGGAUCCAAAGGGAAUAUGCCUUCCCAAAACCGAAUAUGCCCCUUUGAAUAUCAGAUUUUAUCUUUUUAAAAAAUCUGAUGCCUUUAUUUAAUAUAAAAGCUUUAUUUUCUUCUCCUAGAAAACCCUAGCACAUUUAUUUCCUUCUUCAAACAAGUGCAGCCGCCCAACUCCUCUUCUCUCCUUCUUCUCUUUUCUUUGAACAGCAAGCAAAAACCCUAGCAAGCUUCUUCACCUCCUUCUUCUCUCUUGCUGCAAAACGCAGCAGCUCAUCAAUGGCAGAAAACACUGCUGCGUUUUCUUUCUUCUUCCUCUUUUUCCUUGCUGCAGCAACCCUAGCCGAACCUCUUUCUUUGCUACAACAAAAAUCCCAGCCGAAACCCUUGUUGUUCUUUUCCUCCUACUAGCUUCAAAAACCUGCAGAAAAGAAGAACAACACAACCAGAAAAAUACCAACUAAAACCAGAAAACCAGCAACGAAACACAAGAGUAAAAACACCACAACAAUUGAUUUCGGAGUUCCCUCUAAAUCAGAGGUACGUCUCCGUCAAGCGACCCUCAAAGUUGCUUGAAUCUCUAUUAUGAAUGUCAAAGGCUGAUUACAAGUUAUGGAGAUUCCAUGCUACAAAAGCCACCAGGUUGAUUACAAAGGAAACACAAGGCUACUGCCUUUAUUUUUUCUGCUGGGCCGAAAUGGUUCUCUACCUCAAAGUGGAAGGUUACCACUUAUUUAUAAUGUUGUUGAUGUUGUUGUUGUGUUUGUUUCUGAUCUGAGAAAGUUUGUUGUAAUCUGUUGAGAUAUUUUCCUUGUAAUGCUGAAAGUUGUUAGAGUCUUGAGAUAUUUAUUUGCUUCCUUUUAUAUU